GGAUCUACCAUAUUGUCCAUCUUAUACCAGAAGAUGUGCCGAGCCAUGCUAUCGAGCGUGGCGUUGAUCAGUGGUUGUUUGAUCCUGUUGUAGUUAUGGGUCUGGUGGCGACUACCGUUUCUACAUCCCAAGGUGACCGACCCGUAUAUGUUCCCAUUAGUGACGAGGUAAACAUUAUUUAUUAAUAAAUACGUAGUUUGUACAUUAAUUUUUAUUAUUAUACGUGUCGACUAACAUGUCGCUUGUACAAAUGAAACCAUGGGCCGAGUUACGUGGGACUGCCUGAGGAUCUAGAAGAUAUUAGGCUGUUGUUAGAUCAAAGCUUAGAAGCCGAGGUUAGUUACCUAUUCUUUCGAACCUAUAUUAAUUACAUAAUGGUUCGUAAAAAAUCAUAAAUAACGAUAUUUACAAUUCAUUUUUUAGUUUGAAUGGAUUCCAUACACCGACACUGAUGUCAUAUCUUGUAUCAUGUAGGAAAUGUUUCGUAAUCGGCAUAUGUGGGAUGCGAACGUUUCAUUGGUAGUGUACGCAAUGGUAGAAAUGCAUGAAACGGACUGGGUGUUGCAACAGUUUGGGUGAAGGCAACAAAUUCUGUUGCUACCGCAAGACCUGAAGGAGCUGCACA
rnacentral:lncRNA from 1 species